AUAUCAGCAAAUUGCAAGUCCUUUUCUGCCAUCUCGUGGCCAGGCCAAGAAAUUCGACAAUGAACUUGUCUAAAUGUCUUAUCAAGAAAAUGCACUGUUUACAGAGACCAGAUAAUGCUUCUCUAUCCCAAUAUGUGUUGCUUGCCAUCAUACACUCAACACCACACCUUACCUAUCUCCAGUUCCCCCAAAGCCUUUAUGGGAUGUCAUGAAAGUUUAAUAAAAUAGAUUUAGGUCGGUGACAUAGAUAACACUCCCUGGGUUUGCCAUUGAGUGAGGUCUGAUUCAUGGCUCGGUCUUCUAGGUGUUCUAGAAUUUUGGAGAACAUCAGUCAUUGUGAAGUAACAGGAGGGUGUGAAGUGAAAUCAAAGCGACCAACCCAAGGGGCCGCAAGAAGAAUCCCAUAUUUCAGGCAGAGAAAAGUAGCUUCAGAAUUAGAAAGGCUCUUGUUCACUUCUGGGUCUCUUGAACUCCUGCCUCUACCUUCAGCCAUAAAGUAUCUGUACUAUUCUGAUAAUGGACCAAUUCAUCCCGUCCCUCUUUAUCAUUCUCUCUGUGGAAAUCUCAUGCUGUCUUCGAGAUGCGCUUUCAGCUCCCAUCAAAAUGUACAAAGAGUUUCAGAAGGCUGGAUCGGGUUCUUCCACAGAAGAAUCCUACGCUGCGAUGAUUGUGCCAUUAUUUGUGGAGAACAUGGUCAGAAACAUCCCCGGCAAGAUGAGAUUCACUCAGGCACAUGCUCUCUUCAAGAGAACUAUCAAAUGGAAUAAAGUGAUCCCGAACCGGCCUGCCCUGGCGAAGAUUGUCGUAGAAGGAUCCAUAGCUUUCAUCUUUGCUGUUCUAAUCGGGAUCGUACUGUGGUGCGUGCUGUAUUCAAAAGGGGAAAAAAUUAAGCAUUUGGGCCCUCGCCUCAAGCCCGUGGUAAAAAAAAACUUCUUUCUGAGACAAAUUAAGAAGCAGAAGGAAGCCGGCAUAAAGAAGCUGAUGAAAAAAAAGCAGCUUGAGAAAAGCCUCAUUGAGACAGAGAAGGAGGAAGAAUGGAAGCAAGCACAUGAGCUGGGAAAGGAAAAGGAGGAAGAUUCUGAGGAAUCUGAUGAGGAAGAAGAAUCAGUUGUGGAAGAGAAAGGGAAGAAGAAGAAGAAGAAAGGGAAAAGGCAUGCAAUAAAAAAGAAAUUGGCCAAGGUUAAGAAGGCUGCAAAAUCAGAGAUGGUCCAAAAGCAUGUUGGCAAAAUCAAGAAGGUGGCAAAAUCCAAGGCUGUUAAGAAGCAUGUUGGCAGAAUCAAGAAGGUGGCAAAAUCAAAAACUGUUCGAAAACAUGUUGGCAGAAUCAAGAAGGCAGCGAAAUCCAAGGCUGUUAAGAAGCAUGUUGGCAGAAUCAAGAAGAUGGCAAAAUCAAAAGCUGUUCAAAAGCAUGUUGGGAAAAUUAAGAAGGCCGCAAAAUCAGGAUACACUGGUAAAAUUAAGAAGGAGGGGAAACCAGAGGCUGCUCAAAAGCCUGCUGGGAAAAGCAAAAAGGCAGCCAAAUCCGAGUCAGAGGAAGAAGCAAAAUCAACUUCUGAUAGGGAAAGUAAGAAGCCAAGAAAGAAAAAGGAGAAAGAAAUGGAGAUGAUUAUGGUGAAGGAAGAUGAUAAGAGGACUCACGGGAAAAAGAAGGAACUCGGGAAGGCAAAAUUAGAAGACACUGACUCUAAAGAAAAGAAGAAGAGCCAGAAGAAAAGGGAACGAAGCCCACAAAGAAAAGCAAAACACAAGAAGAAGAGGCGACGAGAAUUGGAGGAGUCUGAGGACACUGAUUAGCAGAGAGGAAGGAUGGAACUGGAUCAGGAAAGGGACUCUGGAGAGGAGGUAGUGCCAUCCGAGGUGGAAAAGAGACUCGUUGAAUGCAUAUACUUUUAGGGCUUACGGUUAGCCUGGUGACUGGUGUGAAGAAAAGAGAGGUGAUUUUCCAAGCCUUUUCUCUCCUCUUGGUAAGAAUGCUCUCCUGCCCCCUAGUGUUAAGAUUUAAUACAACAUGUUGAAAUGGGCAUCAAAUAUCGCUGUCUGUACCUUAUCGUUUUGAAAUGGGGAAGGGGGAUCUCUUUUCAAUAGUGAGAGGCAUGGCUUCUCCAGGAAACGUGACUGUUUUUCAGAGCACCUCGAGGUUUCCAUAGCUUCGCCUUGAAUUUCUGCACCUACAGGGGAAAAAAGCUAACUUAAAUUAAAACAAGUUGCAACAAAGAAUAACAAGAUGAUGGGUCGCAUACCCCAAAAGCAGUCGAGAAGGAACACUAGGUGGUCAAUCCGUGUACAUUCCCAUGGCA
ensembl:lncRNA axoneme-associated protein mst101(2)-like